AUGAACGCUAGCUACAGGCUUAACACAUGCAAGUCGAGGGGCAGCAUGGUCUUAGUUUGCUAAGGCUGAUGGCGACCGGCGCACGGGUGAGUAACACGUAUCCAACCUGCCGUCUACUCUUGGCCAGCCUUCUGAAAGGAAGAUUAAUCCAGGAUGGGAUCAUGAGUUCACAUGUCCGCAUGAUUAAAGGUAUUUUCCGGUAGACGAUGGGGAUGCGUUCCAUUAGAUAGUAGGCGGGGUAACGGCCCACCUAGUCAACGAUGGAUAGGGGUUCUGAGAGGAAGGUCCCCCACAUUGGAACUGAGACACGGUCCAAACUCCUACGGGAGGCAGCAGUGAGGAAUAUUGGUCAAUGGGCGAUGGCCUGAACCAGCCAAGUAGCGUGAAGGAUGACUGCCCUAUGGGUUGUAAACUUCUUUUAUAAAGGAAUAAAGUCGGGUAUGCAUACCCGUUUGCAUGUACUUUAUGAAUAAGGAUCGGCUAACUCCGUGCCAGCAGCCGCGGUAAUACGGAGGAUCCGAGCGUUAUCCGGAUUUAUUGGGUUUAAAGGGAGCGUAGAUGGAUGUUUAAGUCAGUUGUGAAAGUUUGCGGCUCAACCGUAAAAUUGCAGUUGAUACUGGAUGUCUUGAGUGCAGUUGAGGCAGGCGGAAUUCGUGGUGUAGCGGUGAAAUGCUUAGAUAUCACGAAGAACUCCGAUUGCGAAGGCAGCCUGCUAAGCUGCAACUGACAUUGAGGCUCGAAAGUGUGGGUAUCAAACAGGAUUAGAUACCCUGGUAGUCCACACCGUAAACGAUGGAUACUAGGUGUAGGAGAUAUUAAGUCUUCUGUGCCGUCGCAAACGCAAUAAGUAUCCCACCUGGGGAGUACGUUCGCAAGAAUGAAACUCAAAGGAAUUGACGGGGACCCGCACAAGCGGUGGAGCAUGUGGUUUAAUUCGAAGCAACGCGAAGAACCUUACCAAGUCUUGACAUCCUGCGACGAUGCUAGAAAUAGUAUUUUCCUUCGGGACGCAGAGACAGGUGGUGCAUGGUUGUCGUCAGCUCGUGCCGUGAGGUGUCGGCUUAAGUGCCAUAACGAGCGCAACCCUUGUUGUCAGUUACUAACAGGUGAUGCUGAGGACUCUGACAAGACUGCCAUCGUAAGAUGUGAGGAAGGUGGGGAUGACGUCAAAUCAGCACGGCCCUUACGUCCGGGGCUACACACGUGUUACAAUGGGGGGUACAGAGGGCCGCUACCACGCGAGUGGAUGCCAAUCCCUAAAACCCCUCUCAGUUCGGACUGGAGUCUGCAACCCGACUCCACGAAGCUGGAUUCGCUAGUAAUCGCGCAUCAGCCACGGCGCGGUGAAUACGUUCCCGGGCCUUGUACACACCGCCCGUCAAGCCAUGGGAGCCGGGGGUACCUGAAGUGCGUAACCGCGAGGAUCGCCCUAGGGUAAAACUGGUGACUGGGGCU
rnacentral:rRNA from 1 species